UUUUUUUUUUCUUUCUUCUUUCGAAACCAGCCAAACAGCCUGCACCUCCCAGACUGAUUUUUUUCUGACAGACCCGACCAAAGGUUCUGCUCCCUCACCAGCACAACCCCGGACCCGGCAUCUCCCUCAGCCUAAACAGACCCGCCAUCCCCUGUUCCCUUGAUUUUUUUCUUCCCCCCUCUGCACCGGCCAAACACCGCCAGCCCCCCACCGGAUUUUUUUUUUCUUCUUCCUCUCCCCAUCGGCUCACCACAAGAGAGAGCAGCGCCCCUUUUCUUCUUCUUUUUUUCUCUCCCAGCCGCUCACGACAACACUCCACAGCAGCAUCCCCCACCAGAUUAUUUUUUUAUUCUUCCUUCCCCACCGACGAUCCCACUGCCAGCCUCUUCUCCGACGCCGCCCCCCUCACAAAUCAACCACAGCCGCCUUCCUUCUCCUCCACAGAAACCGAACAUCCCCUCUCUAUUUUCGCUCAUUUUUUCGACAGACCCGACCCAGCCUCCUCUCCUUCAGCCGACCUCCAGCAGCGGCAGCUUCUGCUCACAGCCGACGGACCCACCUCCUCUCCACCGACCAGGGAACAGGCAGGGCUGUUCCCAUCGCCUCAGACCCAAGGUCUCUUUCUCCGGGCAGCAGCAACGGCUCCUUCCCCAUCAACGGUGCCAGUUUCCCCUUUGAUCUCUUCCACAACAACCGGCCGGCAGCAGUUGUCAUCGCCUCCCACAGCGGCUGACACGGCAGGCUACACAGAAGCCGCCGACCAACAGCCACUCUGAAGCAGAUUUGCCACCGGGGAAGGAGAAAGUAGCAACGGGCAAAAGAAAAAAUUUAAAAGCAGAUCUAAAAAACAACUAAAAUCGACUGUUGUGGUUAUUUUGAAUGUGGUUGCAGGUGAUUGGUGUUCCUCACAAGCAGUAGGGAAGAGGAGGGGUGAAGAAGCUGAUCCAGAUCGUCCACCUUGCGUUCUUCUUCCUGCGGCGGCGCGUGAACCACGCGCCGCCAGUGAUGGUGGCGCGUGCAUAGGACGCGCCACCACUGUUCCUGGUGUCCAUGUCUUCGCAGAAACGUUCCCAACAGAUUUUAUGAUGUUUUAGAGUUUUUUAGCACUGUUUCGGGUCAUUGUGUAAUUUCAAAUUUGUUUAGUGUAAUGUAUGUUUAUUUUGAAUUUUUUAUUUGUAUUUUGUAAUGAGAUGUACAAAAAGAAAAAAAAAGAAAAGGAAAAUAGAAGAAAAGAAAAGAAAAAGAAAAAUAAAUAAGAAAAAGAAAUGUUUGUGUGUGCUUGUUUAUUUUGAAUUUUAUUUGUAUUUUGUAAUGAGAUGUACAAAAAGAACAAAAAAAAAAAGAAAAUAGAAGAAAAGAAAAAUAAAUAAGAAAAAGAAAUGUUUGUGUGUGCUUGUAAUUUUUUUUGUAUUGUUAUUAAAUAAAAAAAAAAGGGAAUUUAAUUUAUAUGCACAAAUAUCUUAAGGAUAGAUAAAAAUCAUGUUGAAUUUUCCAUGAAAAUGUAGAACAUGUAUCUACAUAUAGUCUGGAAAAGUAAUAACUGAUUUAUCAAAGCCUUAGAAUUGGGCUAAAAUUUUAUUUUUAAUAUCACAUCAAGUCCACGAAGCUUGAAAGUGAAUGUGGUGUGUAUGUUUUUUUUUAUGAUAAAAUUGCCAGAAUAAAGAAGAAUUUAAUAUUCCGAUUUAAUCACGGAUAAAGAAUCAUGAACUUACAUGUAAGUUGUAUUUUCUAAAAUUCGAUGAAAGAACAGAAUUUUUAAAAAUUCUUUAACACAUCAAGUCCACAAAGCAGCUUACCACAGGUAGGGUGCGUUAGGGGUGCUAAUACCUUCCCUAACCACAACCAGUCCCUUACCCGCGAUCUUUGACAAGACCAGUACAUCAGGUUUCCUAGUAGCCCUCAAUGAAUUACUAGGUGGCGACUCCAAAGAACCAAAUCAGCAAAACAGAACGAAAAAUCGCCAGCCGAUGCCGCGCGCCAGGAUUUUUUUUUUGGGGUGCGACAGAAUGGCGACUCCGCUGGGGAAGGUAUUGUUUUCAACAUUAUUGGACUAAGCUUUGUAUAUUUGAUGUGUUUAUAUUUUUGCAUUUUUGUCUUAUUUCAUUUUUUUACUCAUGCAUUUUGUAGAAUUGUUUCAUGCAUCACAUAUUGUAAUUUUUUAAAGCACACACCAGCUUCAGGUUAAGAGGGGGACUAGCAGCUUACCUUACGACUUUUAGUCAAGGUUUAAGUUUGUGUAAACCCCAACUCUUCGUUGAGUGCUUAGACUGGUAAUAGUUGGACACGUGCCAUCUCAUUGCCUACAAGCCCCCAUAUUGCCUCCAUGAGGGCGAUCACUGGGACAACGAGAGCCCCUUUUUAGAGACCAAAUAGUAAACCGACCUUUUGUCUCACUUAAAAAGAUUAGAACCUGCCUGUAGGAUGUAUGCUCCGUAAAUAUUUGUUUUGCAUCCGAGCAAGCCCUUCUUGAAGCAUCUUGAACUCCAGACUUAUGGGUGACACAAUGACCGUCGCUCAGAAAAUUUUCAUUGUAGAGUUUGUGCAAGAAUCAAGAUUCUUGUUUCAUCAUACAAGAGUUGCGAUCAUAUGUCACCCCUCGAAGGGCGAGUUCGUCAUAUAGAUUACAUAUUCAUACAUUUAUCAUGCAUGUACCGGGUUGAAAGGUAGGUCCCCUGCACAAGCUGUGCUGCACGUGAUUGAAGAAAAAUGAUAGAGGUGAAGAAAGGUGUCAGAUAGAGGUGAAGAAAGGGUGUCAGAUAGAGGAUCAUUAUCAGAUUGAGGUUGAGAGCAUCAAAGGUGAAGUAGCUAGACUCAGAUCUGCUCGAACAAGUGUUGAGCAUCAAAGGGAAAGAGAAUGUCUGCACAGUCUUCUGUGGGAACACUGCUUGUCCACGUCCAAUUGAAGUUGUCUCUCCUUUUCAGUCAUGAACAACAGCAACAAUGCCUUCAGUCAUCAACUAAUGACAACUCUGAUUCAUGUCCAGUUGCACUCUUAAGUGUUAAUGCCUCCACAUCAUCUAAUGGAACCAAACGACUACUAGCCUCCUGUUCAUGGUGCAUUAGUCUGCUUUGAAGUUACCCCAAUAAUGAGCUCAAUUUCAGUUCAGCAGCACAAGAUGUUGGUCUGAAAAACCAUGAUCAGACACUGAACUUCUACGUGGUAGAGCUCUCUUUGUAGAGAUUUAUUUGUGGAUCUGCCAAUGGGAAAUGCAAAAGGGGAUGUAUUAAUUUCAUAUGCUUUGAAACUUUUUUUUCCACCAGUGGCACGAGCAAAACAUUGUACUCUGCAGAGGAGUCAGGCCUGAUCUGAAAAUAUGAGUAGUACUCGAACUUCAACGUGGCAGAGCUUUCUCUACAAAAAUCUGUUUAUGAUGCUGCAAGUUGAGAGUGCAAGAGAGGAUUUACUAAUUGCAUAUGCUACAAAUAUUUCUCUCAUCAGUUUCAGCACGAAGAAACUGUAGCAUGUUGAAGAGCUAGAUUUGGUUUGAAAAACAUGGAGCAGACAUCAAACUUCAACGUUGCAGAGGUCUCUCAGCAGAAUCUAUUUGUGGAUCCGAAAGUGGGAAAUCCAAGAAGGAAUGCAGUAGUUUCAGAUCAUCUAUGAUUUUCCUCCAACAAUGUCAGUGUUAAAACGCAAAAGUAGAGAGAAGAGACAUGCCUAGACUGAAAAACAUGAAGAAGACUGAAACUUUCACAGAGCAGAACUCCCUCUAUAAGGGGUUGUUUGCUGCACCGUCAGUGAGGAAUCAAAGAGGAAAUAGAGGAGUUUUGGAGUUCAUCAGGUUUCUCUUCCAAUGACAAUAUAUGAUUCCACAUUUUGUUUUUUGCACUGCAUGGAUUACCUAGAUAUUGACGGGUUUCCAACAAUCCUAAAACCACAACAACAUUGGAAGAUUGAAAUGAUGUUGUGAGGAUUUGCCGAAGAAUUGAACAAGCUAUGAAGAGAGGAAAGAUUGAAGGAUCUGCCAUGGAUUCCAGAAAAUGAUGAGAGGUGAAUCAAGGAGAUGACUUUGACGGUGUGAACCCUUAAUUAUGUGGUAUAGCCAGGUCUCACGGUAGCAUCAAUUGCUCAAAUGUCUUUGCCAAGAUGGGACAUUCCUCUGCCGCUUAAGUUUGUCGACCAGCAUCUGCCAGAUUCCAGAAUUUUGCUUGACUCCGACAAAUCCCAUGCAACCACCAUUUUCUAGGUGGUUAAUCCAGAGAGAUGUGAUGUCAUGUGGGGUCCUCAACCAUUUCAAGUGAACAAUUCAAGAAUUGCAAGAAGCGAGUCUGAAAGUUGGUGAGCAAGAGACAGUGGAGUCUUGAAGAAGGGUGUCAUUGGCUAUAUUUCCCCGAACAUCUUCAAAUGACAUGUGAUCGAAAGUGCUUGGCAAAACACAGAUAUUGCCAGAAAAGCUGAUUCAAGAAUGGUGAUGAACAGUCAAUCAUAUUGUUAUGGAAUUCUGCAUUUUGUUUUGGGAUCACAUCUCAUCCUUCAACGAAACAUGCCUUGCUUUUGUCUCUUUGUUGUUUUGAAAUCAACAGAUGUUUAGCAUUUUAUUCUGACAAAAUAUUUUGAUCAAACUCCAACAUGCGAUAAAGGUUAAUCAAUCCGGAAGAUUAAAAGUGUUUUGAUUACAGAAAUGACUAUGCUUGAAAAUGACAUGAGGUGACUAAACAAUUUUGAACUCAUACCUCCUGAAACUGAACCACACAUCAUAUAGCUAAGUUUUACAGUAUGCAUAAUGACAUGUAGUGGAUUCGGUAGUUAUGGACUCGUGAAUCAUGAUUCUUACAAGUCCCAAUCAUUACACUGGAUGAGGUCAAAAUUUAUCGGUUCUAACCGACCUUGCUUGAAAUGAGAAAAGGCCAUCUUUGAUAUCCCUUCACUUUCUAAAGAUUAUAUCCCUUGCAGUCCCAUUUUGAGCCUGGUAAAUAUUUUUUUAAAAAAGAAACCCUGACUAGGAUCACACCCCACACUGGGGCAAAUGAGAGAUAUUUUGGAGACAUUGAUAUAAUUAAUGGAUAAAGGGGAAGGCUUAGAACAAAGGUCCAAUGAUUGAGAGAGAGCUAAAAGAAAACACAUAGACUGGGGGCAUAUAAGAAAUUUUGAGGAAGGCUAUGAAAAAAAGAGAAUGAAAAAAAAGGAAGUUGAAAUUGCCUUCACUUAAAUACAAGUCAAAGAUAAAGGAAGGAGAACGCCUAUCAAGUCUAUGAAGAGCAAAAGAAAUUUCAAUCAAGGAAAGGCACAACAAAAGUCAAUACCAGAAAAAGACUAAGCUAAACGUGACUUUUGUGUCCAUUAUAAAGCCUUGAUGUUAUCAGAUGAUUAAGGUUGGUUAUUCAUCAAGAAAGUGGAUUUGCAUUAUGACUUAUGUUAAGAAAAGUCUGAACUUUGAGGUUAACAAGGUUAUAUGUCGUUUCCUCUACAAAGACAACAAUAGAAAACAAGUUGAUGAAUAUUGAUGUUGAUCCUAGGUCUUUGAAACCCUCAAACACCUUUUGAGCCUUUGAAAUUCCUUUCUUUCAUAGCCAUGAACCAUAGCCUGCAUUACGUGCUUUUAAAAGCCCUUUUUAAUCAAGCAAGCAAUUUGAACCGAUAAAUGGCGCUCUCAAAACUUGAAGAGUUUUUCCAUAAGGGUCGUGACUUCAUGAAUUAAGCUAUUGGUUAUUAUGCAUGCUGAUAAAAAAGUUAUAAGAAGAGAAACAACCUUUCUUGAUAAAGCCUGAGUUUGACUUGAGCUUGUUUUUUGAAAUUCAUCAAAGGUCACCUCAUCAUAGACUAUCAAAUGAUAUACCCAAUAUCAAGGAUUCAAAUUGAUACAAAGAACCAUGGAAAAAGCCAUUUUUAAUCCUACAUUGGGUCAAUUUCUGUUUUCAAAAUGCAUGACAAUCAAAGGACUAUAUAUUUCGAAUAAUGUGUUGGGUCUUUGAUCAAAAAGCUUGAUUUUCAAAAGAUUUUCAAAAAGGACAUCUCUGAUUUCAUUUCAACAAACUAGACUUUGAAUAGACAUGAUCUUUGAAAUAUGAGAGUUGAUUCCAGAACAAGGAAGAUUAUCAAACACAGAAGAACAUUGAUUGAGUGUGCAAAAUCGUUGAUAGAAAUGACAUUGAAGUCCUCGACACUCCUUGAAAAGUUGAGCAGCUGGGGGCAAUACAGUAGACCUUGAAAAGGAAAAACAAGCAGUGCUCAGAUCAGCUAUGAGGCAAUGUUUAAAUGAUGAAUCAGUGAACUGAAGACAAUGAUGUUCAAAGACAGAUAAUCAAUGAACGAGCACAUUCAGAUCAUACUGGGGGCAAUGUCAUUCCAAAAUGGCCCAUGCUCAGUGAACCCUGUCGGCAAUGGAGAAACAAGAUGUACUUGAAGGACACUUUCUAUCAUCAUCUUUUGAAACAUGGCUAGCAAUCGAUGAGAUACAUGAAUGUAAUUGAAUGGUGAAAAGAUGCAUACCACCAAGACUGACUGUGGAACAAUGCUGCACUUAAAGGACAAUCUCAUAUUGUCAUUCUUUGAAACAUGGUUAUGACAGAUGUUAUCACACAACUGCACUGAAUGAAUGUCGGAAAGGCACCCACCUCGAAGACUGACUGUGGGACAAUUUGUUUUGAAGCCAGAUGAGCGCUUCACCACAUGAGUAUGGUGAUAAAAGCAGCAUCAUUGAUGAGGCUGAGACAUUUCUUUUCACAAUCUGAUUAGAAGAGUUGAAAGGAAUCUAUGAGAAGAGCACUGAGCAUACAACCAUGAGCCUUUGUACUGCAAGCUAUGAGAUGCAUGACUGGAUGACUGAAUGAGUUCCAAGAAGGCUGAUGAUAACAUGUACUUGAAGAGUACUGUUUCAACUGGAGGCAAGAUCAUGACUGAUUGACAAUUUUAAUGGGCGUUGGCACGCACAACCAAAUCAAAGGACAAUUCUUGAGAGAAUAUGGGAGAUGAAUGAUUUGUUCCAUUCCUUCAGGAUGAAUCGAGCAACACCACACUUGCAAGCAGGGUCAAAUUUGAUGAACGAUGCGAGCAGUAAUUGUCGAAGACACCCGGGAUGGGCACUGCAUUUACAGCUGAGUGGAUGGCUAGCACAUGAAUGAGCCAAUACAUCGAAAGAACAAGAAAGCUUUGGAAUGCAAACAAGGCACCCUAUGAGAUGGAGCAUCAAAGAGGGGGGGACCUAUAUUUCAAAUCAGGUAAGGAUGCAUGCAUGUCAUCUAACCUAAAAAAAAAAAAAACAUUUGCACAUAUUUUUGAAUUGUUACAGGAAAAUCCUUAAUGAGGUCCAACAAGAUGGUGGAAAAAGAAAGAAGCAUUGUGGUGAUGAUAAUAAAAAAUCAGUUUUGAUCAUGGAAUAAAAGGGAAGAUGGGAUGAACCCUACCAUUAGGGAAAUCCCAAAGAAAUGAAAAGAUCAACCUUGCAAUCGGGAAGCCUCGAGUUUUCAACUCUUGCAGUCAGGAAACACCGAGUUGUCAAAUCCUAUGAUAGGGAAUUAUCAGGAAGCACCAAGUUUUCCAGCCCUUUUUUCUGUCAUCCCCUCAAAGACUUCGCCAGGUAAGUUCUAUUUUUCACACUUGUCAUAUCACAUCUUCCAUUCGGGUUGGUCACCCAUGACAAUGAGACCGUACUUUUCACAUUUUUUCCAUCCGGGUAGGUCACCCAUGAUAAUGAGAGCGCACUUCAUCAUAUUUUUUUUUUCUCCAUCUGGGUAAGUCACCCAUUACAAUGAGACCACACUUUAUAUUUUUUUCCAUUUUUGGGUAGGUCACCCAUUACAAUGAGACCGCACUUCACAUUCUUUCCAUUUAGGUAGGUCACCCAUAACAACGAGACCACUUUUUCAUAUUCUUUCUAUCUGGAUAGGUCACCCAUUACAAUGAGACCGCACUUCACAUUCUUUCCAACUGGGUAGGUCACCCAUUAAGACCGUUUUUUUUCACAUUCUUUUGUUUUGGUUAAAUGAGGUCGCCAGAUGGGAUCUCAUGUAGCUUUGGUUAAAGGGAAUCGCCAGAUGGGAUUUCAGGUUGACCGAGCUACACACAGGAUUUUGGUUCUGGUUAGAGGGGAUUGCCGAAAGGAAUCUCAGUCUAUCCUAACCACACACAGGAUUUUGGUUCUGGUUAGAAGGGAUUGCCGAAAGGACUCUCAGUCUAUCCUAACCACACACAGGAUUUUGGUUCUGGUUGAAGGGGAUCGGCGAAGUGAUCUUAGUUCAGCCCAACAACACAGAGAUUUGGUUCUGGUUGAAGGGGAUCGGCGAAGUGAUCUUAGUUCAGCCCAACCACAAAGGAUUUUGGUUCUGGUUAGAGGGGAUUGCCGAAAGGAAUCUCAGUCUAGCCCAACCCUACACAUUCCUUGGUUAUGGUUAAAGGGGAUCGACGAAGGGAUCUCAGUUUAACCUAAUUGGAAAGGAUUUUGGUUCUGGUUAGAGAGGAUUGCCGAAAGGAAUCUUAGUCUAGCCCAACCCUACACAUUCCUUGGUUAUGGUUAAAGGGGAUCGACGAAGGGAUCUCAAUUUAACCUAAUUGGAAAGGAUUUUGGUUCUGGUUAGAGGGGAUUGCCGAAAGGAAUCUCAGUCUAGCCCAACCCCACACAUUCCUUGGUUAUGGUUAAAGGGGAUCGACGAAGGGAUCUCAGUUUAACCUAAUUGGAAAGGAUUUUGGUUCUGGUUAGAGGGGAUUGCCGAAAGGAAUCUCAGUCUAGCCCAACCCUACACAUUCCUUGGUUAUGGUUAAAGGGGAUCGACGAAGGGAUCUCAGUUUAACCUAAUUGGAAAGGAUUUUGGUUCUGGUUAGAGGGGAUUGCCGAAAGGAAUCUCAGUCUAUCCCAACCCUACACAUUCCUUGGUUAUGGUUAAAGGGGAUCGACGAAGGGAUCUCAGUUUAACCUAAUUGGAAAGGAUUUUGGUUCUGGUUGAAGGGGAUCGGCGAAGGGAUCUCAGUUCAGUCUAACUACACAAUUCCUUGGUUAUGGUUAAAGGGGAUCGGCAAAGGGAUCUCAGUUUAACCUAAUUGGAAAGGAUUUUGGUUCUGGUUGAAGGGGAUCGGCGAAGGGAUCUCAGUUCAGUCUAACCACACAGACCUUGGUUAUGGUAAAAGGGGAUCGCGAAGGGAUCUCAAUUUAGCCUAAUCACACAGAAUCACUAGAUGAGAUUUCAGGUUGAUCGAGCUACACACCGAUUUUUAUUCUUGUUAGAUCGUCAGAUGGGAUCUCAGGUAAACCCAAUCAAAAGGGAAGGUCGCCCGUGAAAAUAGACCAGUGUGAGUGUGUGGGCAGGUCGCCCCUGAAAAUAGACCAGUGUGAGAGUGUGGGUUGGUCGCCCCUAAAAAUAGACCAGAGUGAGUAUGUGUGGGCAGGUCGCCCCUGAAAGUAGACCAGUGUGAUUUUGUGGGCUAGUCGCCCCUGAAAAUAGACCACUUUUCUUCAAAAAAGGCAUGUCGCCCAAGAUAAUAAGAUCAUUUUCUUUUUCUAUUCUUUACAAAGCUUACUAUGCAAAACAUUGAGGAGUUUUGCUUCGUAAGCAUUGUAAAGAGGGGGCAUCUGUUGUUACCCAAUUUUUGACCCACCUUUUUAAUAAAUUUUUCGAAAAAUCUAAAAAUAGUGAAAAACAACAAAAAUCCAAAAAUAUAUUUUUAAUAUAUUUGCAUCGUUUUUAGCAUUUUCAACAUAGUCUAAAAAAGAAUUUAAAUUUUCAAAGGUUUUUGGAACGCGUUCGACUUUUCACGCGUCAUUUUUAAAAUCAUUGAUUUUCCUCAUCGAGUCGACGUUGAUAUUGCUCGUUUUCCAAAAAAACAAGAAAAAUAAAAAAAAAAAUUUAAAAAAAAAGAAAGUUAAGGGACCAAUUUUGAGGAAAAAAAAAUUAAUUAAAAAAAAAUAUUUUUUGCCCUCUUUUUCGGCUGAAAAUCAGGGACUCAACCCCACUUAGUGGGUCUUGAUUUCCUUGUUUCCAGCCGACAAUGGAGGCCCCUCCUCAUGAGGAGAACCCCUAUUUCUUCUCAUCAGAUUCUUGACACCAGGGGAGGGGGGAUUUGAAUUUUUUUAGGGGUCCCGAGAGCAGGGGGCAGAGACCCACGGAGUCCCUCACCUGCAAAAAGCCAACACUCCCUCAUCAGAGCUGUCACUCCAAGCCACAGCCGCCCCCCACCCUUGACAUUUUUUUUUUCUUUCUUCUUUCGAAACCAGCCAAACAGCCUGCACCUCCCAGACUUGAUUUUUUUCUGACAGACCCGACCAAAGGUUCUGCUCCCUCACCAGCACAACCCCGGACCCGGCAUCUCCCUCAGCCUAAACAGACCCGCCAUCCCCUGUUUCCCUUGAUUUUUUUCUUCCCCACUCUGCACCGGCCAAACACCGCCAGCCCCCCACCGGAUUUUUUUUUUCUUCUUCCUCUCCCCAUCGGCUCACCACAAGAGAGAGCAGCGCCCCUUUUCUUCUUUUUUUCUCUCCCAGCCGCUCACGACAACACUCCACAGCAGCACCCCCCACCGGAUUUUUUUUUUAUUCUUCCUUCCCCUCCGACGAUCCCACUGCCAGCCUCUUCUCCAGCGCCGCCCCCCUCACAAAUCAACCACAGCCGCCUUCCUUCUCCUCCACAGAAACCGAACAGCCCCUCUCUAUUUUCGCUCAUUUUUUCGAAAGACCUGACCCAGCCUCCUCUCCUUCAGCCGACCUCCAGCAGCGGCAGCUUCUGCUCACAGCCGACAGACCCACCUCCUCUCCACCGACCAGGGAACGGGCAGGGCUGUUCCCAUCGCCUCAGACCCAAGGUCUCUUUCUCUGGGCAGCAGCAACGGCUCCUUCCCCAUCAACGGUGCUAGUUUCCCCUUUGAUCUCUUCCACAACAACCGGCCGGCAGCAGUUGUCAUCGCCUCCCACAGCGGCUGACACGGCAGGCUACACAGAAGCCGCCGACCAACAGCCACUCUGAAGCAGAUCUGCCACCGGGGAAGGAGAAAGUAGCAACGGGCAGAAGAAAAAAUUUAAAAGCAGAUCUAAAAAACAACUAAAAUCGACUGUUGUGGUUAUUUUGAUUGUGGUUGCAAGUGAUUGGUGUUCCUCACAAGCAGUAGGGAAGAGGAGGGGUGAAGAAGCUGAUCCAGAUCGUCCACCUUGCGUUCUUCUUCCUGCGGCGGCGCGUGGCGCCAGUGACGGUGGUGCGUGCACAGGACGCGCCGCCACUGUUCCUGGUGUCCAUGUCUUCGCAGAAACGUUCCCAGCAGAUUCUAUGAUGUUUUAGAGUUUUUUAGCACUGUUUCGGGUCAUUGUGUAAUUUCAAAUUUGUUUAGUGUAAUGUAUGUUUAUUUUGAAUUUUUUAUUUGUAUUUUGUAAUGAGAUGUACAAAAAGAAAAAAAAAGAAAAGGAAAAUAGAAGAAAAGAAAAGAAAAAGAAAAAUAAAUAAGAAAAAGAAAUGUUUGUGUGUGCUUGUUUAUUUUGAAUUUUUAUUUGUAUUUUGUAAUGAGAUGUACAAAAAGAACAAAAAAAAAAAGAAAAAAUAGAAGAAAAGAAAAAUAAAUAAGAAAAAGAAAUGUUUGUGUGUGC
rnacentral:lncRNA from 1 species